AGUGAAAUCUUUCAUUCAGAUUUCAUUUUCCCAUAAACCUUCCUAGAAUCAUUUAGGGUCCAUCUCUAUUUCUUGGGACCUUGAUAAUUAUGACAAAUGUAUGUGACCUCAUAAAUUGUUGUAAUGGCUUGGCUACCAUUUUGAGAGCUUGUUGUCUCAAAAAUAAAACCAAAACCAUAAUCGAUUAUCUCUGAUUGUUGGAGGCUUUUACAUGCUUGACAAAUUAUCUCAAUUUACACUAAACAUAGUCUAAGUCCGGGCAGAGAGCUAUGACUAAAACCAGCACAGAUUAACGAUAAUCAUUUGGUGGACAGAAACGAUGAUUAUCACGGAUGUUCUACUGGAAUUUAUUUUCGACAAGACCUGCCAGGGAAGAGAAAGAGAGAGCGAGAGCAAGAACGAAAAAGGAGGGCCUUCCUCCAAUCCGAUGACACACUUGGGCACGUACGCAUGCGCAGCAGGCCUAUAGCAGACCACACUCACUCACUCACAGUGCGUUACUGCACCCAAGGGUGGUCCUCAUACUACAAACAAGCAGCAGCAGCAGCAACGCACAGCAGUCAGCCGAUUUCUUCUACUGUGAUCGUAUCAUAUGUCCCAAAACUGCCUUACUCGAUUGUAUGGUUUUCAAGGAACAAAACAAGGAAAAUCCCCUUAUAAUCACACGCUCAAAUGUCUGCCGUUAUGCUGAUGAUUCACAAUUCAAAAAACCUUCUUUCCGAAAAAAACUUGAUCCCAGAGGCAAGCUGAUGCUGUAUAUUAGGGCUAAACCCAAUGGAGAUAUUAAAAUUUUACCUUAAAAAUUAACAAAAUAAUUAU